CCUCAGGUUGCUUAGGUAACGGGAAGGAAAAGAACUUCCCUCUGUUCUUGGGCGGAUCUUACAUUGCUUUUGGAAGAGGUAAUGGACUUGGGAAAGAAAGGAGUAUGUGUAUUGAAGGAAUGAUUAGGUGGGAGGAGUCAGACAGGAAGGCUGCAAUAGCCCGUCACUCAACCCUGGCUGCUUUAUCGUUGGGGCUCAGUGAACAGAUUAUCUGUUUUCAUGGUAAGAGGUUGGGGUUCUCUACUUCAGGUGGGCACUGAGAAAGUGAAUUGCUCGCCUUUGUUUAAAAAUAAUGAAAAUGGGCCGGGCGCAUUGCUCAUGCCUGUAAUCCCAGCACUUUGGGAGGCUGAGGCAGGUGGAUCACUUGAGGUCAGGAGUUUGUGACCAGCCUGGCCAACGUGGUGAGAUCCUGUCUAUACUAAAAAUACAAAAAUUAGCCAGGCAUGGUGAUGGUCACCUGUAAUCCUAGCUACUUGGGAGGCUGACACAGGAGAAUCGCUUGAACCCAGGAGGCGCAGGUUGCAGUGAGCCGAGAUCUCGCCACUGCAGUCCAGCCUGGGUGACAGAGCAAGACUCUGUCUCAAAAACAAACAAACAAAAAACCCAAAAAUAAUGAAAAUGUCUGCCCACCCUUCACUAAGUAGACAUAAUGAAAAUGCAUAUCUUGUGCCCUCUUUUGCUUUUAUUCCGUAAUACCCAAGCCCACGUUUUGGAAUUAAGCCCCACACCCUUUGUGUGAAAGCCACGCGGCUCUUCAAAGGACCCCUUUAGGGGGAGCAUUAAGUUUGCCCAAGGAGGCACCCUUCUGGGUCUUCAAGGCCACCUGGCUGCAAUGCAGUCCAAUUCCAGCCUGUGUCUCCCAGAGCACCCCCUGUGCCAGGGUGGCAGGGUCCGAGGGGUGUGUCCACCAUGGCACCAGACACACACCUGUAAUGUGUGUCCAUGUGAAGAGACCAACAAACAGCCUUUGUGUGGGCAACAAGGCUAUUUGUUUUACCUAGGUGCAGGUGAGCUGAGUCCGAAAAGAGAGUCAGCAAAGGGUGGUGGGAUUAUCAUUAGUUCUUACAGGUUUGGGACAGGCGACGGAGUUAGGAGCAAUGUUUUGCAGGCAAGGGGUGGAUCUCACAAAGUACAUUCUCAAAGUGAAUGACUCCAGCUUCCUCUGGAAGUAAAGCAGCCUUGAGAAGAGUUUUUAUCAAGGAGGCACGAAUGAUGGAGGACCCUUGCGUAGUGAGGAAACCUCUUUCUGCCCAUGUAACAGCAUGGUGGUGCAGGAUAUGGAAGGCAUAUUUACAGUCAGUAUAAAUAUUGACGUGUAGUCCCUUUGCAAGAGUGAGGGCCUGAAUUAAGGCAAUGAGUUCGGCUUACUGAGAGGUAGUAGAAGGGGGCAGAGUGGUAGCCUCAAUGAUAGAUGUGGAAAUACCAUAACAUAGCCUGCCUUUGCUGGUGAGUUGCAAUCAGGACUGGUGGAACUGCCAUCAAUAAACCAAGUGUGAUCAGGAUGAGGAACAGGAAAGAAGGAAAUAUGGGGAAAUGGAGUGAAUGUUAGGUGGAUCAGAGAGAUACAGUCAAGGGAGUGGGGGCCAGCCUAAAACAGUAAGGUCAAGUUGGACAGAAAGGCUAUAGGACAUGGUCCCAGCUCUUGUGUAAGGAUUUUGAUCACAUGGCCCUGUACUUUGGCUGUGUGAAAUGAAAAGGGUUGGGAUGAAUUAGGGAGAGCUAGUGUGGGGGCAGCUUCUAGGGCUGUUUUUAAGGAAUGGAAAGAGGAGUGGCAAAAGGAUUUAGGAUCUGUGGGGUCAGCUAGCUUUGCUUUUGUGACUUUACAUAAUGGUUUAGUCAGGAUGGUGAAACUAGGUAUCCAAAGGCGGAAGUACCUAACCAUGCCUAGGAAGGAAAGGAGUUGUUAUUUUGUAGAAGGGGUUCAGGUUUGGGAGAUUAGCCAGACAUGAUCAGCAGGGAGAGCACGUGUGUUUUCAUGAAGAAUUACGCCGAGACAGGUGACAGAUGAGGAAGAAAUUUGGGCUUGACUGAAGUAAUGGGGGCAGUCCCUGAAGCCUUGUGGCAGUACAGCCCAGGUAAGUUGCUGAGGCUGAUGGGUGUCAAGGUCAGUCCAAGUGAAAGCGAAGAGAGGCUGGGAUGAAGGGCGCAAAGGAAUAGUAAAGAAAGCUUGUUUGAGAUCCAGAACAGAAUAACGGGUUGUGCAGGGAGGUAUUGAGGAUAGGAGAGUAUAUGGGUUUGGCACCACGGCGUGGAUAGGCAAGACAAUUUGGUUGAUAAGGCGUAGAUCCUGAACUAACCUGUAAGGCUUGUCUGGUUUUUGGACAGGUGAAAUGGGGGAAUUGUAAGGAGAGUUUAUAGGCUUUAAAAGGCCAUGCUGUAACAGGUGAGUGAUAACAGGCUUUAAUCCUUUUAAAGCCUGCUGUGGGAUGGGAUAUUGGCUUUGAGUGGGGUAAGGGUGAUUAGGUUUUUAUGAGAUGGUAAGGGUUGCAUGAUCGUCGCCAAGGAGGGAAUAGAGGUGUCCUAUACUUGUGGAUUAAGGUGGGAAGAUACAAGGGGAGGAUGGGAAGGAGGCUUUGAACUGGGGAAAAGGGCAGCAAUGAGGUGUAGCUGUAGCCAAGGAAUAGUCAGGGAAGCAGAUAAUUUAGUUAAAAUGCCUCAACCUAAUAAGGGAACUGGGCAGGUGGGGAUAACUAAAAAGGAGUGUUUAAAAGAGCAUUGUACAAGUUGACACCAGAGUUGGGGAGUUUUAAGAGGUUUAGAAGCCUGGCUGUCAAUACCCACAACAGUUAUGGAGGCAAGGGAAACAGACCUUUGAAAAGAAGGUAAGGUGGAGUUCGUAGCCUCCGUACUAAUUUAGAAGGGGACAGACUUACCUUCCACUGUAAGAGUUACCCAAAGCGUCUGUGAUGGUCCAGGAAGCUUCUGAGGCGAUGGGGCAGCGUCAGUCUUCAGCCGCUAAGCCGAGAAGAUCUGGGAAGGAGUCAGUCAGAGAGCCUUGGGCCAGAGCUCCAGGGGCUCUGGGAGUGGCUGCUGGGCGAGUUGGACAGUCUGAU
rnacentral:lncRNA from 1 species